GGACCCGCACAAGCAGCGGAGCGUGUGGUUUAAUUCGAGGCUACGCGAAGAACCUUACCAGGGUUUGACAUACUGGUGGUAGGAAUGUGAAAACAGACUGACCCUUCGGGGAGCCAGUACAGGUGCUGCAUGGCUGUCGUCAGCUCGUGCCGUGAGGUGUUAGGUUAAGUCCUGUAACGAGCGCAACCCUCAUCGUUAGUUAUAUGUGUCUAACGAGACCGCCGGUGAUAAGCCGGAGGAAGGUGGGGAUGACGUCAAGUCAGCAUGGCCUUUAUAUCCUGGGCUACACACACGCUACAAUGGCCGGUACAAUGGGUCGCGAAGCCGCGAGGCGGAGCCAAUCCUCUAAAGCCGGUCUCAGUUCGGAUUGUAGGCUGCAACUCGCCUGCAUGAAGUCGGAGUUGCUAGUAACCGCGCGUCAGCAACAGUGCGGUGAAUACGUUCCCGGGUCUU
rnacentral:rRNA from 1 species